GACAGAGGGGUCAGAGUCGCCGAGGCGGGGGAGGCCGAGCCCAGCAGCACCAGCACGUCCUCCUCCUCCUUUAACUCCAAGGUCUCGGAUUUGACGAACAUCCUGGAGAAGAGAGCAGAGCGGGAGAAAGAACCAAACGGGGUGUGAAUAUAGAAGCUGAGAUAGCGUUAGCGGUGUUAGCGGGACUUACUGCUGCGCGCCCAAGAAGGCCCGCUCGGAAUCGCGCCAAGGAGGAAACUCCCUGAAAAGCAUCUACUGUGGACACCUGCACAGCUUUCAUGUCAGGAUGAUCGAAGUCCACGGCACUGAGCAGAUGACAGAGCUGCAGAGGAAAGAUGACAGGAAUCAUGCAGGGCAGGCAACGUCUUCAUGAAGAGCCCUCACCUCUCCGCCUACCCUUGGCAGCCAUUAUCAUUUAACUAAUAAAAAACUGCUUGAGUGAAGCCUGGCUUGUUGCAGUUCAUGGGGUUGCAAGAAGUUGGAU